UGAAGGAUCGAACGGGGGGACUCUCUUUUUCCUGGACCACGACUUGCCCUCGUUCGUGGCAGGAGCAUAAACUGAAACCAGAGAAGUUAUGUGCAAACACAAGUUUUGCAAAUAACUUUCCAGCAACAAGGAGAACCAAGUUGAGUUAGCACCCCAACGUCUAACUCUGCAAGGUCCCUGAGCGAUCAGGGGCCUGUAUCACGAAGCGAGAUCAACCUUUCCUGGGUUACCCAGACCUGUCCUGGGUUGACUAACCCUAACAAUGGCAAUCAGGAUAAUCGGUAUCACGACGCUGGAUAUCAACUCGGUAACUCAACCCAGGGUUGCUUUAUCAAGAGCUGUGAAUGCGCACGCAGCGGACCAAUCACAAUCAUGAGAGAAGCGUAGCGUCACUGAGCGUCCUCACUGAGCGUCCUCACAGAGCGUCCUCACAGAGCG